rnacentral:ribozyme from 1 species
UGUCCAGUAAUUCCUAUCCCUACCUCCCCGUGGUGCCGCCUGGAGUACGAGUAACCGGGAAGGGAAUAUCGGGUAACCAACCCUGUUGGGUCGUAUGAUGACAGGGAAGG